rnacentral:rRNA from 1 species
CUGACCGAGCGAUGCCGCGUGAGCGAAGAAGGCCCUAUGGGUUGUAAAGCUCUGUCAGAUUGGGAAGAACGCUCCGGGGUUAAUACCCUCGGGGUUUGACGGUACCAUCAGAGGAAGCACCGGCUAACUCCGUGCCAGCAGCCGCGGUAAUACGGAGGGUGCAAGCGUUGUUCGGAUUCACUGGGUAUAAAGGGUGCGCAGGCGGCCUGGUAAGUCAGGGGUGAAAUAUGACGGCUCAACCGUCAAACUGCCUCUGAAACUGCCUGGCUUGAGUCCGGGAGAGGUAGGUGGAAUUCCAGGUGUAGCGGUGAAAUGCGUAAAUAUCUGGAGGAACACCGGUGGCGAAGGCGGCCUACUGGCCCGGUACUGACGCUCAGGCACGAAAGCUAGGGGAGCGAACGGGAUUAGAUACCCCGGUAGUCCUAGCCGUAAACGAUGGGCACUAGGUGUUGGAGGAGUCUACCCCUUCAGUGCCGCAGCUAAUGCAUUAAGUGCCCCACCUGGGGAG